UAUCAGCCUAUCAGGCGAUCGAGAGUAGUUCAUACCAUAUUGACUGCGUCCACGAAUGAUGCGUGCUCAUCAUGUGCCUCCACGCCGUUGGGUUGGAAUAAUCCUUUCAUUCCUUGGCAAUUAGACACAGAAACCAUGAAAUUAGGCUUCGGUGGUUGAGAUAAUUUUGUUUAAUACUCGAGUAGUCCUAAUAUAAUGCCAAAGUCGAAACAGCGAUCCACCUAGCUGUAACCUUCGAUCUAGCUAGCUGACGCGAAGUCACAUGCAGUACAGUGAAAACUGAGAAGCAGUACUCUCUCUAUCCCAAAUUUUCAAAUUGUAAGUCGUUUUGGUAUUUCUAAAUUCAUAGCUUUUGCUAUUUAUAUAUACACUAUGUUCAUAUCUAGAUCGUUUGAGCUUUAUCUUUAUUGGAUAUGGCCAUAUUUUUUAUUGAUAUACUGGACUUGUGAACAUUUCCACAGACCUAAUCAAGGAACCCUAUUUCGUAUGGCCAGGAAACUAAGAAUCUUGUAAGCAGCAUCAAGGAAGUGCUCUCUUCUUCGGUUCUUCCCAGGAAGACUACAGUACUGUAACGUCAUCCACACGCC
rnacentral:lncRNA from 1 species